UACAGAGGUCCCGAGCGUUGUUCGGAUCCACUGGGCGUAAAGGGUGCGUAGGUGGCAUGGUAAGUUUGAUGUGAAAGCUCAGGGCUUAACCCUGAAAUGGCAUUGAAUACUACUGUGCUGGAGGUUUGGAGGGGGGACUGGAAUUCUUGGUGUAGCAGUGAAAUGCGUAGAUAUCAAGAGGAACACCAGUGGCGAAGGCGAGUCCCUGGACAACACCUGACACUGAGGCACGAAAGCUAGGGGAGCAAACAGG
rnacentral:rRNA from 1 species